UCUUCAAAUUGAAAAAAUUCAGAUAGAGUAGAACUCUUCCACGAUCGAGUCUCCCAUAAAAUGAAAAUAUCUUUUUUGAAUCAAUCUGUAUGAUAAAUCUGAAAAUCAUCAUGACUUCGAGAUAGAUACGACUCAAACUCCUUCCCUAUAAAUUAAGACUCCAAGAUACGCAAUCGACUCAUCGCUCUCUUCUCUCAUUAUUUUCCGAUCUCUUGAUUGUUGCGUUGAAGGGUCUUCAUCGGAGAAUGCCAUCCCCAGUGAAAACUUAUUUUGCAAGUGUUCGGGCGAAGCUCCAAUAGUGAUUCCACUUCGACCACAUUCACCUCGACAACCGACCUCAGAUGGAGAGAUCGGCAGCAACAGAGAACAUAUUAGAUCAUGUUGGUGAGUAGAGUUUUACGAGCACAAAAAAGAGUUCUAGCUUAUAUUUGGUGAGAUAUGAACAAAAUUAGUUGGAGAAGGGAUG
rnacentral:lncRNA from 1 species